rnacentral:lncRNA from 1 species
GCAGAAAAAGGCGAUUGACAGCAUGCUGAGUAAUUUAAAGGAAAUGAAUGCUGACUAUGACCAACCCAGGUCCAAUAAGAAGAUUGUAACCAUAGUGGAGAUAAGCAGUUUAACAACUUCUUUGAUGGAGGAACUAAAGAAGAGGUGUCAGUACCUUGACUGCUUCUUGGAUGCCUCUAUGGCUGUUCCCCGACCACAGACUCCACUUCAGGGGGCUUUUGCAGUUGCAGCUCGCCCUAGGUCCCGUAUACAGGAAAAAACAGGCAGUCCAGAUGGAGACGGCCUGCUCCAUCCUAGCCGCAUCGGAGUGUCCUUCCUGGAUGAUGCGGCGGUGGGGGUUAUCAAAGGCCUGCUCAAGUUAGUGUUCACCAACAU